CUUUAAUUCUUGGGAAGAAAUCAAGCAAGCACUCUGAAAGCCCCCUAGACCCUAUUUCCACACGUAUCUCCCUUUUUGUUUCUCUGGUUGCUCUCAUCAUUUGAGUCCCCUCUGCUCCCCAUUUGUCCAUCUAUCUCAGUCACCAAAUAUUAGCACUCACUGUGAUGAGUUGUUUGGUAACAUCAUGGUAUAUAUAGAGCACGUUGUUUAAUCACGCCUUUAAAGUUUGUGGCUGUCGUGUAGUAUUAGGUAAGUGGUGCUGGUGACAAGUGUGCCAUAGAUUCACAAUCGCUGCCCUGGAGGGUGUAUUGAAUGUUGCUUCUGUAGUAUUACAGAGAGCCUGUUGGGUUUUUCAGGAAUACGUUCAUUUUUCACAUCUCCAAUUCCUCUCUUGGGAUUGAGACCUCAGUAUUUUAUAAUCCACUGGAGGAUUUUGAAAGGUUGAUUUUAGC